GCCUUCCCUAAAACAAAGCUAGGGUUCCGCCGCCUUCGGCUACAAGGUUGUUUGACGAGCCCGCAUAGAUGUAGAAUUCUGAUGCUUGGGGCUACAAGCCGUCCCGACACAAAGCCACAUCCACCCAGAUGUAGAGUUUCAAUACCUCUAGAUCCAAGGUUUUUGAGAUCCCAGUGGAUCCGAUUUCUUUUACUUGCUUGGCCAAAUAAUUUAUCAGGUGAGUUUCUCUAAAAUCAUAGUUUGUUAGCAAGCCAUCCCCGAUAAAAAGCCGCAUCCACCCCAAUCGAGUUCCACCAUGGGUGGAUCGGGGGGGGGGGGGGGCUCGAGCUUCCCUAGCGGCCUAACGCCCAUGGAUCCCACUAAGCCCCCUGCAAAGUUUUGACACGAAUCAAGGAGAGGAAGAAGAAAAGAGAUAGUGAGAAGAAGAAAAAGAGGGAGGAUGAGGUGGACAAGCCACUCCCUAUUUUUCUAGGCUGUGUCCGCCUCCGAGUUCCACUGCCUCUUGCUCCAAGGUUUGAGAUCUCACUUUGCAAAAAAAAAAAUGCUUGAUUUAUCUACUAACUUUCCAUGUGAGUUCAUUUGAAAUUCGGAGGUCGCCGAGACAAUAAGCCAUAUCUACUCAGAUCUAGAAUUUUGUUGUCUCCGGCUUCAAGAGUUGAGAACCCACCGGAUCUUUAUUUUUCUUUAUAUUUGGUUCAUCUUAUAAUUUCUCAAGCAGAUUCGUCUGAAAUCCUAGCUUUGUUGGGCAAAACCUGCCCCAAACAAAAGCCUCCAAAUAAGUUUGCGAUCCCAUCAGGAAUCCUUCAUCUUCUAAAUAUAUUUGUCUAUUAGUUUCCCAAUCCCCUUAUGAAAGUUCAUCAUUUCGUGAUUUGCACUGUUGCAUGGUCACACGUUGAAAACUCUUUUAGAAUUCUCCUUUUCUUUUUGGUAUAGAACGGGGAUGUGAUUGUAACAUCUCAAGAUCUGGCAAUCGAGGACUCUGAAAAAUUUAGAUGUACCGAAGCUCCAUUUUUUUCUUUUUUUAAAGGGGAAAGACCUUGAUGGUUUUCUUGUGCUAUAUCUGAUUUCAGGAGAUU